GAAGGAGGCGUGCGGCGCCCGCCCCCAGCCGCGCUGCCCGGAGCCGGAGGCGCAGCCAGGCGCUCUCGCAGCCUCAUCCCGGCGCUCACCGCAGCCCCGAGCCCGCCAGGCGGCCCUUCCCUGCGCAGAGGUGGCAGCGGCAGGCGGCAUGACGGCGGAGGAGAUGAAAGCGGACGGGGCUCCCCUGGAAGGGGUGGACAUCACUCCCAAGCAGGAUGAGGGCGUCCUCAAGGUUGUCAAGAGAGAAGGCAGUGGGACAGAGUCUCCGAUGAUAGGCGAUAAGGUGACUGUCCAUUACACGGGCUGGCUUCUCGAUGGCACAAAAUUUGACUCCAGUCUGGACAGAAGAGACAAAUUCUCAUUUGACUUGGGGAAAGGUGAGGUGAUCAAAGCAUGGGACAUUGCUGUGGCCACUAUGAAGAUUGGUGAAAUCUGUCGGAUUACGUGUAAACCAGAAUAUGCCUAUGGCUCAGCUGGGAGCCCCCCAAAGAUACCUCCCAAUGCUACACUGAUCUUUGAGAUAGAACUUUUUGAGUUCAAGGGGGAGGACCUCACUGAUGAAGAAGACGGUGGCAUCAUCCGAAGAAUCCGUAAAAAAGGGGAGGGUUACUCCAGGCCCAAUGAGGAUGCACUUGUAGAGAUCCAGUUUGAAGGCCGACAUGGAGAUCGUGUUUUUGACAAGCGGGAAUUGCGGUUUGAGAUUGGAGAAGGUGAAAACUUCGAUAUUCCUCAUGGUCUGGAGAAAGCAAUUCAAAAAAUGGAGAAAUCAGAGGAAUCUGUGUUCUAUCUCAAGCCCAGCUAUGGUUUUGGAAGUGCUGGGAAUGAGAAAUUUAAGAUCCCUCCAGAUGCAGAGCUGCAGUAUGAAGUGAAACUCAAAAGCUUUGAAAAGGCUAAGGAGUCCUGGGAAAUGAACACAGAUGAGAAAUUGGAACAGAGCAGCAUUGUGAAGGAGAGAGGCACUCAGUACUUCAAGGAGGGGAAAUACAAGCGGGCAGCAUUACAGUAUAAGAAGAUUGUGUCAUGGCUGGAGCACGAGUUGGGACUCUCCGAGGAGGAGGAAUCAAAAGCCAAAAGCCUGAGGCUUGCUGCCCAUCUUAACUUAGCCAUGUGCCAUCUCAAGCUAAAGGAAUACUCCCAGGCUUUGGAGAACUGCAACAAGGCCCUCGAAUUGGAUAGCAACAAUGAGAAAGGCCUUUUCCGGCGUGGAGAAGCUCACUUGGCUGUCAAUGACUUUGAGUUGGCCCGCGCAGAUUUCCAGAAAGUGAUACAACUUUAUCCAAGUAACAAAGCUGCCAAAGUGCAACUGGUGACUUGUCAGCAAAAAAUACGGGAGCAGCAUGAGAAGGAGAAGAAGAUGUACGCCAACAUGUUCCAAAGGCUCGCAGACAAAGACUUAAAGUCAUCUGCUACUCUUCAGACAAGCCACACUGAAGAUGCAGAAAUGAAAGAUGCGCAGAAUGGAGUUGAAGAUAAAUCAGAAGUUGAAGCAGAAGCAUAAGAAAACCCCUAUUCCAUUAGUUUUGUAAAUGAAAGAAUUUCCAGUGAAUUAGACCUUUAUUUUUCUACCUGGUUGGAUAGUGGCUUCAAGGGAGCAGAGGCUGAAGCCACCAUGCCACAGUCAGUUACAGCUUUAUGUGGCUGUUCAAGAAGCUGAGUGGCAGCAUAAAUCUGGUUUAAUCCUAGUGACUUUAUUUAUUCAUUCAGCCUCUGUUACUGUUUGGGUUUUGUCUGGAUUUGCUCUGCUUGGUUUAUUUGCAUUUUCAUAGAAUCAUAGAAUGGCUUGAGUUGGAAGGGACCUCAAAGAUCUAGUUCUAACCCCCCCCUGCCAUGGACAGGGACACCCUUCACUAGACCAGGUUGCUCAGAGCUCCAUCCACCCUGGUCUUGGAUACUUCCAGGCAUGGAGCAUCUACAGCUUCUCUGGGCAGCCUGUUCCAGUGCCUGAACACCCUCAGAGUAAAGAAUUUCUUCCUAAUACCUAAUCUUAACCUGCCCUCUUUCAGUCUGAAGCCAUUCCCCUUGUGCUGUCACUACUUGCCCUUGUAAAUAGUCUCUCUCCAUGUUUCUUGUAGGCUCCCUAUAAGGUACUGGAACGCCACAGUUUGGUCACCCCAAAGCCUUCCUUUUUCCAGGCUGAACAAUUCCAGUUCUCUCUUGUCUCAUAAGGAGAGGUGCUUCAUCCCUCUAAUCAUCUUGGUGGGCCUCCUGUGGACUUGCUCCGAAAGGUGCAUGUCCUUCCUGUGCUGGGGACCCCAGGGGUGGAUGCAGUGUUCCAGGUGGGAUCUCAGCAGAGUACAGGGUUAAAAUCCCCUGCCUCCCCUGCUGCCCACACUGCUUUGGAUGCAGCCCAGGUUACAACUGGCCUUCUGGGCUGUCAGUGCACAUUGCCAGCUCAUGUCCAGCCUCAUCCAACAGCACCCCCAUAUCCUUCUUGGCAGGGCUGCUCUGGAAAUGUUCAUCCCCCAGCCUUUAUUGAUACCAGGGGUUGCCCAGCCCAGGUGCAGCACCUUGCACUUGACCUUAUUGAAGCCUCAUGUGUUUCACAGGGGCCCACUUCUCAGGCUUGUCCAGGUCGCUGUGGGUGCCAUCCUGUCCUUCAGGUGUGUCAAGGGGACUGCUCAGCUUGGUGUCAUCUGCAGAUUUGCUGAGGGUGCACUCUACCCCUUCAUCCACGUCAUUAACGAAGAUGAUAGUAACACCGGUCCCAGUAUGGACCCCUGAGGGACACACCUGUCACUGGUGUCCCUUGGGAUGCUGAGCUGUUGACCACUAGCCUGUAGAUGUGGCCGUGCAACCAAUUUCUUACCCAUCAAACAGUCCACCCACUGCAUCCAUCUCUGUCCAAUGCAGAGAGAAGGAUGUUGUGGGGAACUGUGUCUAAGGCAGAAAAUUACAGGAAUGAAGGUAAAUGACACCUGUAGCCCUUCCCUUGUUCACUGGUGGAGUCACUCCAUCAUUGAAGGCCACUAGGCUGCUCAGAUGGGACUUGCCCUUGGUGAAGCCGUGCUGGCUGUCCCUGGUCACCUCCCUGUCCUCCAUGUGCCUUAGCAUAGCAUCCAGGAGGAUCUGUUCCGUGAUCUUCCCGGGCACAGAGCUGAGGUUGACAGGUGGGUAGUCCCCGUGUUGUCAUCGGCAUUUUUCUUUCUGGUUCCAGCUUACUUUAAUCCCAGGUUCUGCUUUCUAAAUUUAUUUCCUUGAUUUGCUUCAAGUAAUCAGCUUUUUUCAGGAGUCCUCAUGCGAGACUUAAGAACAAAUCGGCGCUCCCAGUUCUUCUGCCUUGGGAUUGCCCUCUUUCCCCCUGUUCAGUAGGGAGUCCCUUCCAUUAAGUAUUGUAGCCUUUCUUGUAUGCCUCCUCUUUGCAAAUUGCUGAAGAUGAAGACUAUGAAGUCAUAGCUUAAGUAAUAAAGCUCCAAUUAAACUCAAGAAAACUGAACUUUUCGUGGGUUUUUAUUGGAAUUUGCACAGAAUCGAGAGAAUAUACUGUCCUUUGAUCACUGUUUUCUUGUCCACAGAGCCAGUGUCCUGAUUAUUUUUCUGUGUUGUUUGUUCAUUACCAUAGAAAAUUCCCACAAUAUUUGAUACAGUAUUUACCCAUAUAUUUGCGAAAGGGAAAAAUUAUGUUGCUGGACACUGUGCAUAAAGCAACUCUGUAACCUAUGCAUACAGGUUGUUCUAUGUUCAUAUUGCUACCUUCCUCUUCACCCCACUACAUUGUGAAACUGGACCAGAGGAAAAAAAAAACCAAACCAGUGUAUCUGAAAGUGGCUGGCUUUGAAGUGAAAGUAAGGGAUAAAGCUUACAUAUUGCAAAUACUUUAAAUGAACUACAAACUCCUCAGUGAUUCUAAUGUCUGCUUACCCAGAUCUCACAAGAAAGCUAUUACUAAGUAUUCUGCUUCUUUCUGCAGUUUGUGUGUCUUGUUUGGGGGUGGGUGUGCUUUUGAAUUUUGUGGGGGCUUUUGGUUGGGGUGAGCUUUUUUUGUCUGAAGGCAUGGAACAUAGUACUCAAAUUCAAGUGUUUAUCCUAUCACGUGGUGUUAAAUUUGCAUCUCCAGUGUCCUGUUUAGAGACAGGGGCAGAAGGGGCAAUUUUUUUGCCUGCUCUGCAGAAGAAAGGUAGAAAAUCUGUUUCUCUCAGAUUAAAAUAAAUGGAGUUUUUUUAUGGUGAGAAAGAUGUCUUUGCAUGGCAUGCCAUGGGCUGGAAUUUGUGUGUGUAUUGCAGAGAGUAUCCCUGUUUAAACAUGUAAUACGA